CUGAAAUGCUGAGACAACUGUUCCUUCUCCUCCCUUGAGCUAAGACCCUGAAAGCUGAACCAGUACCAUCUCCUUGGAGCACCUUCUGAGGGUCCCUCUAGCCUACAAAGUGUAGUCAAGUGGAAUUUGUGCGCUUUCCUGAUUCAGGCCCAAUCCAGUCUUCCUAUGCCAGCCACAGAGCAGUCCCAUACUCCCUUCUGCUCAAUCCUACCCUGCCUCUUCUGCCUGUGAGUAUCCUAUUCACUUGGCUUGGAUUACCUUUCUUGCUCAUCUGCAGUAGACUUUACCAAUGCUCCCUGCUAUCUGGAUCUCUUCCACGUUCAGAAGCGUACAGGUAGCAGACCAGCAAGUUAACUACAUAAUCACAUCUCUCAGUAGAACGUGACUACCAUUCCUGCAAGAACCUUAAACAAACACUUAUCACCAUCAAGAUGCCUAUUCUGGCAGAAGCCCAUUCCUCCAUCUGCAUGGAUGAUCAGAACAGAAAACAAUCCGGGAAUAUGUUGCUGUUUAGAAUUGGAGCAUCAAAAGCCAAUGCAGAAGAUACAGAAGGAGCAGCCAGGAAGAAAAUCAGGACAGUGGUGUUUCACAGAAACCUAGAGAGAAGAGAAUUUCACAGAAAAAUUAGCAGAGCAUGCCAACUACUGAUACUGAUUAGGGAAAUUUAGAAAUGUCAAAAAUCUUCUAACUCAGCCAUGAAGAGAUCACUGCUGAUUUUCUGUCAGGGAAAAACCCCAAAUAUUUUUAUAUUAAACACUUCAUGAGUCAAAGAGAAAUCACAAAUCAACUCAGAAGAUUUUAAAAACCCAAUAAAAGUGAACAUAAUACAUAAAAAAUUAUGGGAUGCAGGUCAAGCAGUGUUUAGAGAAAAUUUUGUAUCUGUAAAUGCUUGUAAUAUAAAAAACAAAGAAUCACCAAGUGCAGUGGCUCAUGCCUGUCAUCCCAACACUCUGGAGGCCAAGGAGGGAGGAUCGUUUGAGGCCAGGAGUUCGAGACUAGCCUGAGGAACAUAACAAGGCCUCACUGCAACAACAAAACAACAAAUGAAAAUUAGCUGGGCAUGGUGGCUGAUGCCCACCAUGGGCAGGUUGCUUGAGCCCAAGAGUUUCAGACCAGCUUGGGCAACAUAGUGAGACCAUGACUCUACUAAGAAAGAAAGAAAUUAGCUGGUCAGGGUGGCAUGCACUGCAUCUAUGGUUCUAGCUACUCGGGAGGCUGAGGUGGGAGGAUCACUUUUGCUCAGGAGUUUGAGGCUGCAGUGAGCCAUGAUUGCACCACUAUACUCCAGCCAAGGUAAUAGAUGGAGACCCUGUCUCAAGAAAGAAAGAAAGAAAAGGAAGAAAAGGAAGGAAAGGAGAGGAGAGGAGGGGAAAGAGGAAAGGAAAGAGGACAGGACAGGACAGGACAGGACAGGACAGGAAAGGAAA
rnacentral:lncRNA from 1 species